rnacentral:rRNA from 1 species
ACACGUGCUACAAUGGGUGGUACAAAGAGAUGCAAUCUCGCAAGAGCAAGCAAACCUCAAAAAGCCAUCCUCAGUUCGGAUUGGAGUCUGCAACUCGACUCCAUGAAGUCGGAAUCGCUAGUAAUCGCGGAUCAGCACGCCGCGGUGAAUACGUUCCCGGGCCUU